rnacentral:tRNA from 1 species
GGAGGUGGCACGGGGCAGAGCACCCAGCUCCAGAAUGGUGGACGUGGGUUCAAAUCCCAUCCCUCCA